rnacentral:snRNA from 1 species
CAUCAUAUCAGCAUAGGCCGCCU